CGCACGCUCUACCCGCCCAGAUUAACAAACAGUAAGUAGUAGUGAUUAAUUCUUCUUCUUCUUCGCAUCCGCUAGAUCUAUAUAUCCAAAAAGAUCAUUAUUAAUAAUAAUAUUUGGUGGUGUAUAAUUGGGUGGGGGGACAGAGAAUCUGCUGAAGAACGGGGACAUGGAGGAGGGGCCGUACAUAUUCCCGAACACGACGUGGGGGGUGCUGAUACCGCCGAACAUCGAGGACGAGCACUCGCCGCUGCCGGGGUGGAAGGUGGAGUCGCUGAAGGCCGUCAAGUACGUGGACGCGGCGCACUACGCGGUGCCGCGGGGGCUCCGCGCGGC
rnacentral:lncRNA from 1 species